UACGAAGGGGGCUAGCGUUGCUCGGAAUCACUGGGCGUAAAGCGCACGUAGGCCGAUUGUUAAGUCAGGGGUGAAAUCCUGGAGCUCAACUCCAGAACUGCCUUCGAUACUGCGGGUCUCGAGUCCGGGAGAGGUGAGUGGAAUUCCUAGUGUAGAGGUGAAAUUCGUAGAUAUUAGGAAGAACACCAGUGGCGAAGGCGGCUCACUGGCCCGGUACUGACGCUGAGGCGCGAAAGCGUGGGGAGCAAACAGG
rnacentral:rRNA from 1 species